CAAGUAAAUCGCCUUAUCGCUCUUGUGUUGAAUUUAUUUCAGCAUCUUAUAAUUUAACUUUACGGUUGAUUGAAAAGGUACUGAAAUAAAUUCAGCACAAGAGAGGAAAGUCCGAACACCAUAGUGCAACAUAGUGGUUAAUGGCCACCAGCUGUGAGGCUAGGAAAAGUGCAACAGAAAGUAUGUACAGGUAAUGCUGUAGUGAAAUCAGGUAAACUCUAUGUGGUGAAAUGUCAUGUAAACUAACGCUUGAGGGCUGCACGUGCAAUGUUAGAGGGUAGGCAGCUAAAGUGUAUUGGUAACAAUACACUCAGAUAAAUGAUAAGGGUGUUUUGUCUUGUGGAUGAGAUUCUGAAAUAAGUUCAGGACAUACAGAAUUCGGCUUAUAGAUUUGCUUACAUA
rnacentral:RNase_P_RNA from 1 species